rnacentral:misc_RNA from 1 species
GGAAAUCACACUGUUCAUCUGUUGCAUUUAAUUCAAUGAAGAGUUCAAAGGUGGAAUUGACCACAAAUUCUGGACGAGCUGAAGGUCUGUCAAUUUUAUUUACCACCACCACAACAGCAUGGCCAAAUUCUAAAGCCUUCUUUAAAACAAAUCUCGUUUGUGGCAUUGGCCCCUCCACAGAAUCUACCACUAGAAGAACUCCUUCAACCAUAUUGAGUACACGUUCGACUUCCCCGCCAAAGUCUGAGUGACCUGGAGUAUCAAUGAUAUUUAUCUUCGUUCCCUUGAAGUUUAUUGAUGUAUUUUUGCUGAGUAUAGUUAUUCCCCUUUCCCUCUCCA